UAGCUAUAAGGGUAGUUAAGCACUGGAAUGGGCUUCCAAGAGGUAUGUGGAAUCCUCAUCAUUGGAGAUUUUUAAGAACAGGUUGGACAAAUGCCUGACAGGGAUGGACUAGGUUUAUGUGGUCCUGCCCCAGCAUUUGGGUACUGGACUAG